GGGUAGAUGUCCGAGCGGUCUAAGGAGACGGUCUUGAAAACCGUUGAGGCCUAGCCUCCGCGAGUUCGAAUCUCGCUCUACCCG
rnacentral:tRNA from 1 species